UUGACAGCCUGAGAGACUGAAGCCUUUUAUUUAUCCACAGAUUAAAUAUAGCCCAGACAGUGACAGUGCAGCUUCUAUGCUGACCUAGAGGGGCUACCAUCAAGGGGGGGGAUGAGCACAUUAAUCUCCCCUUGGCAUUUGCCACCUUGCCCGAG
rnacentral:sRNA from 1 species